CGUCGUGACGUGGGAUUGAUU
rnacentral:miRNA from 1 species